rnacentral:rRNA from 1 species
CUUCGGACUUUGAGACCGGCGCACGGGUGCGUAACGCGUAUGCAAUCUACCUUUUACAGAGGGAUAGCCCAGAGAAAUUUGGAUUAAUACCUCAUAGUAUAAUUGAAUGGCAUCAUUUAAUUAUUAAAGUCACAACGGUAAAAGAUGAGCAUGCGUCCCAUUAGCUAGUUGGUAAGGUAACGGCUUACCAAGGCUACGAUGGGUAGGGGUCCUGAGAGGGAGAUCCCCCACACUGGUACUGAGACACGGACCAGACUCCUACGGGAGGCAGCAGUGAGGAAUAUUGGACAAUGGGCGCAAGCCUGAUCCAGCCAUGCCGCGUGCAGGAUGACGGUCCUAUGGAUUGUAAACUGCUUUUAUACGAGAAGAAACAACUCUACGUGUAGAGUCUUGACGGUAUCGUAAGAAUAAGGAUCGGCUAACUCCGUGCCAGCAGCCGCGGUAAUACGGAGGAUCCAAGCGUUAUCCGGAAUCAUUGGGUUUAAAGGGUCCGUAGGCGGUUUAAUAAGUCAGUGGUGAAAGCCCAUCGCUCAACGGUGGAACGGCCAUUGAUACUGUUAGACUUGAAUUAUUAGGAAGUAACUAGAAUAUGUAGUGUAGCGGUGAAAUGCUUAGAGAUUACAUGGAAUACCAAUUGCGAAGGCAGGUUACUACUAAUGGAUUGACGCUGAUGG